rnacentral:rRNA from 1 species
AGUGAACGCUGGCGGUAGGCCUAACACAUGCAAGUCGAACGGCAGCACAGUAAGAUUUUGCUCUUACGGGUGGCGAGUGGCGGACGGGUGACGCAUACAUCGGAAUCUACUUUUUCGUGGGGGACAACGUAGAGCAACUUACGAUAAUACCGCAUAUGUCCUACCGCUGAAAUCAGUGGAUCUUGGCGGCUUUCGUGAUUCAAUUAGACGAUGUCGGAUUAGCUAGUUGGGAGGGUAAGGGCCCACCAAGGCAACGAUACGUAGCUGGUCUGAGAGGGUGAUCGGCCACACUGGAACUGAGACACGGUCCAGACUCCUACGGGAGGCAGCAGUAGGGAAUAUUCGACAAUGGGCGCAAGCCUGAUCCAGCAACGCCGCGUGAGUGAUGAAGGCCUUCGGGUCGUAAAGCCCUUUUGUUAGGAAAGAACAACUGCAGAAUAAUCCACCGAUGUUCUGACGGUACCCAAAGAAUAAGCACCGGCUAACUUCGUG